UACAGAGGUGGCAAGCGUUGUUCGGAAUUACUGGGCGUAAAGGGCUCGUAGGCGGCCAACUAAGUCAGACGUGAAAUCCCCCGGCUUAACCAGGGAACUGCGUCUGAUACUGGAUGGCUUGAGUUUGGGAGAGGGAUGCGGAAUUCCAGGUGUAGCGGUGAAAUGCGUAGAUAUCUGGAGGAACACCGGUGGCGAAGGCGACAUCCUGGACCAACACUGACGCUGAGUGAGCGAAAGCCAGGGGAGCAAACGGG
rnacentral:rRNA from 1 species